GCUUGAUAAGUUGCCUUUUAAUUGGGGGCGGGAAUGAAAGGAUUAACGUAACCUUUUCUGUCUUUACUAUAUUACGUGUAAUUUAGGUUUCAAGUGAAGACACUUGAAUGUGGUUAAAGGACAAGAAGACCCUGUUGAGCUUUAGUUUAGGGUUAUUAAGUGUAGUGGUUGUUAGACUUUGGUUGGGGCGGCAGAAGUCCAUAAGCAGCGACUUUUUUUUGUCGGUGUUAAGCCAUAAGAAGAUAUGGUUUUAGUAUAAAGAAGAAAAGCUACCACAGGGGUAACAGGCUAAUCUACUCGAAGAGUACAUAUUGAUGAGUGGGUUUGGCACCUCGAUGUUGGCUCAAAGUUUCCUGUAGGCGAAGGGGCUUGCAAAGGUAGGUUUGUUCAUCCUUUAAAACUUU
rnacentral:rRNA from 1 species